CAGCAGCCGCGGGAAUACGUAGGGUGCGAGCGUUAAUCGGAAUUACUGGGCGUAAAGCGUGCGCAGGCGGUUGUGUAAGACAGGUGUGAAAUCCCCGGGCUUAACCUGGGAACUGCGCUUGUGACUGCAAAGCUAGAGUAUGGCAGAGGGGGGUGGAAUUCCACGUGUAGCAGUGAAAUGCGUAGAGAUGUGGAGGAACACCGAUGGCGAAGGCAGCCCCCUGGGCCAAUACUGACGCUCAUGCACGAAAGCGUGGGGAGCAAACAGGAUUAGAUACCCCCGUAGUCCCUGUCUCUUAUAC
rnacentral:rRNA from 1 species